UUCGUUAAAUUGCUUCUCCAUGAAAGUUGAUUCAGAUCUGAAGCAAUGAUGCAUAUCUCCGUCCCAAUUUUAUCCAGACAAGUAUUUCUACAGAGGUUGUCAGUCAUCUUGUAAAAAUGAAUUUUUUGGUGUACAGCGAUAAAAGAUCCGAACCUAGAGAUUACUUGCCCAGUUCCAUUUUGAUAGUGUCAGGUAAUGCAGAGAUUUGAAACCAACUGAAAUUUUAUUUAGUGCAUUGCCGAACCACCUCGACCAUUUGCAAACAUGGUUCGCCCCAUAAUAUUUGCUACAUUUGUUUUCAUGAUUGGAUUGCAUUUCUCGAGUGCUCGAGUUCAAUCCAAUGAACGAGAUGAGCCCUUCGCAGCCAGUGAAGCUCUUGCAGAAAGCACAAGACCAAUUGGUUCUAAAAUCAACACUGCUCCACUUUUCAGAAGGACAGUGAGACGUCAUGCUCCUGGGGGUUGUGGUCCUGGGCUAAUUCCAGGGGGAGGUUGGGGUGACGGAGGCCCCCCGGUGGUGGUGGUGGUGGGGGGUUCGGCGGGGCAGGUGCGGAAGCAUCUGCUGCAGCCAGUGCCCAAGCUUCUGCUGCAGGAGGAGGAGGAGGUGGAGGAGGAUUUGGUGGUGGGAGAGGUCCAGGGUGGGGCAAAGGUAAACCUGGAAGAGGUCCUCCUAUUGGCCAUGGUCAUGGUCAUGGGGACCAUGGUCAUGGUAUCGGUGGAAAAUUAAUUGGACCCGGAGGAGGAGGAGCCGCUGCACAUGCUGAUGCCAGCGCUAGUGCCUUAGCUGCUGGGGGAGGAGGAGGAUUUGGCGGUGGGGGAGGAGGUCAUAGUGGAGCAAAUGCUCAUGCAAGUGCUGCUGCAAAUGCAAAUGGAGGUGGAGGAUUCGGCGGGGGUGGUGGAGCAUCAGCGUCCGCAUCUGCAGAUGCUAAAGCGUCGGCUUUCUAACUAUAGUUUCGUAUUACCAAUAAUUUUAAUAAUUACCAUUUUAUGUCGCUAAUAAAAAAUAAAUAAUAUAACCAGGCUUA